CUAAUUAAUCAUAACAGCUGGAACACGCCAACAGGCAUCCAAAGUCCAUUUCACUCGCAUCAAUCUCCGAGGAGGCAGCCAGUACCCUAAGAUGUUUCCAAGGCCCUGUCUACCAACUAGGGUUUCAUAGGCCCUAUUGGUUCCCAUGGCAACGUAUCACUGGCCUUUGCCUAAGAAAGAAAUGGAACAGGCCAGACUAGGUUAGUCAUGUAUCUUACUUUACAGUCCUCUGCUUGAAGGGUUGCCAGUUCUCCAUUUGAAGGGCUGGUGGGUCCAAGCUCCGUUUAAAGAUGAAGAAUAGUGCAAAGGGAGAGCAGAGGCCUUUACGCUGCACAUCAACUAUUACCACAACUGUACACCAGCUGAGCAGCCACACAGCUCACCAGCUUUGUCAAACAACCAAGUUUCCAAUGGAUUUUUACCACCUCCAAAGUACUGUGGUGGCUCCAAAUUGAAUUCUUCUUGGAAACCCAGAGAUGAAGAUGAAUCCAAAAUACAUCCACGGACAAAUUUAUGGUGGAACUGAACUGUUUUAUUUCACAUUUGAACCAGGCAAAGCACAGCAGCUCCUGGGGGAGAAAAAUGAAGGUGGAAUACACACCAUUGCCAGAAAGACAGGAGG